rnacentral:lncRNA from 1 species
GUCACAAAAUAUUAAAGAGACCGACCGCUAAGGGAACAGGAAAAACGUCCGAGACAGCCGUUGCAAUUACGAAUGGACCAGACUUGGUAGCACGGGGCAUUGAUUGCUGGUGCCCAACCGGACCCUCCUCCCCUCUUCCCAUCCCUUCCCCCACCCAAAGCAGGCUCCCGCUGCGGCCGGGACCUCGCAUCCCUGCAACGUGGCCGGGGCUGCAUUUUUCAUGAGCCUAGGGUGAACAGGUGCGAAGUGCGCUGGGAGCAUCCGGCCAGCGGCCGAGCGCGGGGAACAUGGAGAGCGAGCGCGACAUGUACCGCCAGUUCCAGGACUGGUGCCUCAGGACUUACGGGGACUCAGGCAAGACCAAGACGGUGACCCGUAAAAAAUACGAACGGAUCGUCCAGCUCCUCAAUGGCUCCGAGUCGAGCUCCACGGACAACGCCAAAUUUAAAUUCUGGGUCAAAUCGAAGGGCUUCCAGCUGGGCCAGCCGGACGAGGUCCGCGGGGGAGGCGGCGGCGCCAAGCAAGUGCUCUACGUGCCUGUCAAGACCACGAAAUAAAGCAGCACUUCAAUAUGCAAACAUUGAGACCCAGCUGGAAAGCAUGCAAUACCCACUGAGGCUUCUAAUGCUAUGUGAAAUACACAAAGGGUGGUGUGCUAGGCUAACCUUUUCAAAUGGCAGAAGAACCAGUCCAGAAGACUAAAAGCUUUUCUACUUACUUUCCCAUUCAAUUAAACAUCUAC